CCCCAGAUAACGGCGAGUGAACAGGGAAAAGCCCAGCACCGAAGCCUGUGGCCAUUUGGUUACUAGGCAAUGUGGUGUUUAGGUCGUUCCGCAGAGGUUCUGCUCCACCCUAAGUCCAUAAAUGAGUACGGUAGUAUGGACAUGGCCCGCAGAGGGUGAAAGGCCCGUGGGGGUGGAGAUUCGGUAGGCCAGAACCUCUCUGGGUAGACCUUGGAGUCGGGUUGUUUGUGAAUGCAGCCCAAAGUGGGUGGUAAACUCCAUCCAAGGCUAAAUACUGACACGAGUCCGAUAGCGAACAAGUACCGUGAGGGAAAGUUGAAAAGUACUUUGAAGAGAGAGUAAACAGUGCGUGAAACCGCUCAGAGGUAAACGGGUGGAGUUGAACUGCAAGCUCUGAGAAUUCAGCUGAUGAGUUUGGUUUGAGCUGGGUCAAAUUGGUGGACGCUGGGGUCUGUUCAUUUACAGGUCAUUGCUUUCGGGUAGUGAUGCGCGAUACACUUAUCAAGUGUUGUGCGCCCUAGUUGUUCUUCGACCAGCUCGUCAGUGCACUUUCUCAGAGUGGUCACCACGACCGGCGCUGCUGUCUGGCUGCUUUGGUUAAACCGUUGUUUGCUUAGUCCUUGUGGCUUUGCUUCAGCGGGAUGGCAGGUGAUUCGUUAACUUGCUUGCAGGUUUUCGAGUGUAAUCAGCUGACCUUGGUGGUUCUGUGCAGUGCGUCGGAGACGGCGGCUUGUGGUGUGUGCAUGCGUUCAGGUUGCUGACAUGUCCGGGUUUGGCUAUUAUGUUGCCUGUGUAAACAGGUCUAGUGGUGGCUCGGGCUUGUUCGGUGGUCUGUUGCGUGUGUUUCACUGUUCCAAGGGCCAACAGUCUGUGGUGUAGUGGUAGACUAUCCACCUGACCCGUCUUGAAACACGGACCAAGGAGAGUAACAUGUGCGCGAGUCAUUGGGCGUUACGAAACCCAAAGGCGCAGUGAAAGUGAAGGCUUGACUUGUUCAGGCUGAGGUGAGAUCCUGUCGUUUCUCACGCGUGGUACUACCAAGCAUCGAGCGGCAGGCGCAUCACCGGCCCGUCCCAUGGCAGUUGUUUCCGAACAAGUUUCGGUCGGGGCGGAGCAUGAGCGUACAUGUUGAGACCCGAAAGAUGGUGAACUAUGCUUGCGCAGGUUGAAGCCAGAGGAAACUCUGGUGGAGGACCGCAGCGAUUCUGACGUGCAAAUCGAUCGUCAAACGUGAGUAUAGGGGCGAAAGACUAAUC
rnacentral:rRNA from 1 species